CACGUAGGGUGCGAGCGUUGUCCGGAAUUAUUGGGCGUAAAGAGCUCGUAGGCGGUGUGUCGCGUCGGCCGUGAAAACCUGCAGCUUAACUGUGGGCUUGCGGUCGAUACGGGCAUCACUGGAGUUCGGCAGGGGAGACUGGAAUUCCUGGUGUAGCGGUGAAAUGCGCAGAUAUCAGGAGGAACACCAGCGGCGAAGGCGGCGCUCUGGGCCGGUACUGACACUGAGGAGCGAAAGCGUGGGUAGCAAACAGG
rnacentral:rRNA from 1 species